rnacentral:lncRNA from 1 species
UCGAAGAGUUAGAACUCCGAUUUUUCAAACUGAACUUGUAUUCCGACAAUGGAGUUACAAAAUUCACUGAUAAUACAGCUUCAAAUUGUCGGCGUUCCAAGUUCGGGGAAUGGGUUUCCCCUCAAGGGUCUCCAGCCGAUAGGCUCUCGGCCCGAAGGUGUCUGCAACCUUGUAGGGUCCUUCCCAGUUGGGAGCCAGCUUCCCUUGG